GCCUGGAUAGCUCAGUUGCUGAGAGUAUGGUGCUGAUAAGGCCAAGGUUGCAGGUUCGAUUCCUGUAUGGGGCA